UACGAAGGGUGCAAGCGUUACUCGGAAUUACUGGGCGUAAAGCGUGCGUAGGUGGUGAGUUAAGUCUGAUGUGAAAUCCCCGGGCUCAACCUGGGAAUGGCAUUGGAUACUGGCUCGCUAGAGUGCGGUAGAGGGUGGUGGAAUUCCCGGUGUAGCAGUGAAAUGCGUAGAGAUCGGGAGGAACAUCUGUGGAGAAGGCGGCCACCUGGACCAACACUGACACUGAGGCACGAAAGCGUGGGGAGCAAACAGG
rnacentral:rRNA from 1 species